CGGCGAGUGAAGCGGGAUGAGCUCAAGCUUAAAAUCUCCAUACAAUUUUUGUAUGGCGAAUUGUAGUCUAUAGAAGCGUGGUCAGUGUAGGCACUUGGGGUAAGUUCCUUGGAAAAGGACAGCAUGGAGGGUGAUACUCCCGUUUAUCUCUAAGUUGCUUAUACGUACGACCCGUUUUCUUUGAGUCGCGUUGUUUGAGAAUGCAGCGCAAAGUAGGUGGUAAAUUCCAUCUAAAGCUAAAUAUUGGUGCGAGACCGAUAGCAAACAAGUACCGUGAGGGAAAGAUGAAAAGAACUUUGAAAAUAGAGUUAAAGAGUACCUGAAACUGCUGAAAGGGAACCAAAUCGUUUCCAGUGUCUAUAAUCCGUGGUAUAUCACAUCGGCGAGCGUGUGCGUGUGUGUGCUGUUGUAGUGGCCUUUUGGUUACGCUCGGCGUAUGUGCUGUAUAUGCUUGCUGGUGCCCUGUACUGCGGUGGGACGUCAAGGUCAGUUCGUAUGCUGCGGGAAAUGACUACCAAGGAGGUAGGGCUUACGCUUGCGUUUGUCUGUUAUAUCUUGGUAGACGAGUAGUCGCGGUUGGGACUGAGGUGCCUACAACGUGCUUUUGAGUGGGCUUGGGUCUUCGUGUGCGCCGUGUGCGGAUAGCUUGCUAUGCGUGUGUGGUUGUGUAUGGAUUGA
rnacentral:rRNA from 1 species